AUACGAAGGGGGCUAGCGUUGUUCGGAAUCACUGGGCGUAAAGCGCGCGUAGGUGGAUCAAUUAGUUGAGGGUGAAAUCCCGGGGCUCAACCUCGGAACUGCCUUCAAUACUGUUGAUCUUGAGACCGAGAGAGGUGAGUGGAAUUCCUAGUGUAGAGGUGAAAUUCAUAGAUAUUAGGAAGAACACCGGUGGCGAAGGCGGCUCACUGGCUCGGUACUGACGCUGAGGUGCGAAAGCGUGGGGAGCAAACAGGAUUAGAAACCCUAGUAGUCC
rnacentral:rRNA from 1 species